AAUUCUGGAGCCAGGUAUGUCCUUAAACUAUGUCCAAAAGAGAGGUAUGGGCACUGUGAAUGUCAUCUCGCUUUGUGUGGUAGGGCACAGCACAGCGGAUGUCAUUCCAUAUUUAAAGCAGAGCCCACCUGGCGAAGCCCCCUGGCCCUUACAGAAAAUCGCAGCCAAAUAACAUUAGACCCUACUCUUAGUGUCGUGUUCCUGCCGGUGAGUAAGGUUGCCAGAGCUCAACGAGGGUGCGGAGUUGUUAGGGUCGGCAACGUGCAUGUAACUCCUCUGGAGUUGCAGGCGUACAUAGGCUACGGAGACUGCUUAACAUCAGACCGUAUGCUUGUUUGCCACCGACGUAGU